rnacentral:rRNA from 1 species
AUUGAACGCUGGCGGCAUGCCUUACACAUGCAAGUCGAACGGCAGCACGGGUGCUUGCACCUGGUGGCGAGUGGCGAACGGGUGAGUAAUACAUCGGAACAUGUCCUGUAGUGGGGGAUAGCCCGGCGAAAGCCGGAUUAAUACCGCAUACGAUCUACGGAUGAAAGCGGGGGACCUUCGGGCCUCGCGCUAUAGGGUUGGCCGAUGGCUGAUUAGCUAGUUGGUGGGGUAAAGGCCUACCCAGGCGACGAUCAGUAGCUGGUCUGAGAGGACGACCAGCCACACUGGGACUGAGACACGGCCCAGACUCCUACGGGAGGCAGCAGUGGGGAAUGGUGGACAAUGGGCGAAAGCCUGAUCCAGCAAUGCCGCGUGUGUGAAGAAGGCCUUCGGGUUGUAAAGCACUUUUGUCCGGAAAGAAAUGCUUGGCCCUAAUACGGUCGGGGGAUGACGGUACCGGAAGAAUAAGCACCGGCUAACUACGUG